rnacentral:rRNA from 2 species
UUAAAUUGAAGAGUUUGAUCAUGGCUCAGAUUGAACGCUGGCGGCAGGC